UACGGGGGGGGCAAGCGUUGUUCGGAAUUACUGGGCGUAAAGGGCUCGUAGGCGGCCAACUAAGUCAGACGUGAAAUCCCUCGGCUUAACCGGGGAACUGCGUCUGAUACUGGAUGGCUUGAGUUCGGGAGAGGGAUGCGGAAUUCCAGGUGUAGCGGUGAAAUGCGUAGAUAUCAGGAGGAACACCGGUGGCGAAGGCGGAUCUCUGGGCCUUACCUGACGCUGAGGAGCGAAAGCAUGGGGAGCAAACAGG
rnacentral:rRNA from 1 species